GCUACGGACUUAAAAUCCGUCGACUUUAUAAGUCGUGAGGGUUCAA
rnacentral:tRNA from 1 species